rnacentral:rRNA from 1 species
UGGCGGUAGGCCUAACACAUGCAAGUCGAACGGCAGCACAGGAGAGCUUGCUCUCUGGGUGGCGAGUGGCGGACGGGUGAGGAAUACAUCGGAAUCUACUCUGUCGUGGGGGAUAACGUAGGGAAACUUACGCUAAUACCGCAUACGACCUACGGGUGAAAGCAGGGGAUCUUCGGACCUUGCGCGAUUGAAUGAGCCGAUGUCGGAUUAGCUAGUUGGCGGGGUAAAGGCCCACCAAGGCGACGAUCCGUAGCUGGUCUGAGAGGAUGAUCAGCCACACUGGAACUGAGACACGGUCCAGACUCCUACGGGAGGCAGCAGUGGGGAAUAUUGGACAAUGGGCGCAAGCCUGAUCCAGCCAUACCGCGUGGGUGAAGAAGGCCUUCGGGUUGUAAGGCCCUUUUGUUGGGAAAGAAAUCCAGCCGGCUAAUACCUGGUUGGGAUGACGGUACCCAAAGAAUAAGCACCGGCUAACUUCGUGCCAGCAGCCGCGGUAAUACGAAGGGUGCAAGCGUUACUCGGAAUUACUGGGCGUAAAGCGUGCGUAGGUGGUCGUUUAAGUCCGUUGUGAAAGCCCUGGGCUCAACCUGGGAACUGCAGUGGAUACUGGGCGACUAGAGUGUGGUAGAGGGUAGCGGAAUUCCUGGUGUAGCAGUGAAAUGCGUAGAGAUCAGGAGGAACAUCCAUGGCGAAGGCAGCUACCUGGACCAACACUGACACUGAGGCACGAAAGCGU